rnacentral:rRNA from 4 species
GGGUUGUGAGGUUAAGCGACUAAGCGUACACGGUGGAUGCCCUGGCAGUCAGAGGCGAUGAAGGGCGUGCUAAUCUGCGAUAAGCGCCGGUAAGGUGAUAUGAACCGUUAUAACCGGCGAUACCCGAAUGGGGAAACCCAGUGUGAUUCGUCACACUAUCAUUAACUGAAUCCAUAGGUUAAUGAGGCGAACCGGGGGAACUGAAACAUCUAAGUACCCCGAGGAAAAGAAAUCAACCGAGAUUCCCCCAGUAGCGGCGAGCGAACGGGGAGGAGCCCAGAGCCUGAAUCAGCAUGUGUGU